rnacentral:rRNA from 1 species
UACGGAGGGUGCAAGCGUUGCUCGGAAUCACUGGGCGUAAAGGGCGUGUAGGCGGUUUCGUAUGUCUGGCGUGAAAGCCCCGGGCUCAACCCGGGAAGUGCGUUGGAAACUGCGAAACUAGAGUCUCGGAGAGGAAGGUGGAAUUCCAGGUGUAGCGGUGGAAAUGCGUAGAUAUCUGGAAGAACACCGGUGGCGAAGGCGGCCUUCUGGACGAUGACUGACGCUGAGACGC